rnacentral:ncRNA from 1 species
AUUGGUAUUUCGCGGGAAAUAGUUGCGAAACACAAACCCGCGACACUGGUCUAUGAUGUGAAAUAAAGGGUUCCACGCAAACAUGGUCAGCAUGAAGCCGCCCAGCGCGUUUGCAACAAACAUCUUGCCGGAAAACACCAUGUUCAACCGGCGAUA